rnacentral:sRNA from 12 species
GCAAGAAUCGCAAUCUUUUGGUAGUAAUAACCCCUCAUAACAUUACUACAGGAUUUAGCAAUCGGGGAGAUACUCCUUCUCCCUGGUUGUAUGCCU